rnacentral:lncRNA from 1 species
CGAACAGUUGGCUCUGGCACACAUAAUGACACUUGGAAGGAAAGUCUUAUUUUAACAACGCUGUUGACUUUCCAACUUCUGCGUUACCACAGUCAUCAGAGUCCAAUUUACUCUUCAGGGGCCCUAAUCAUUCUAUACCUGAACUGGACAGAAAGAAAAUAAUUUGUUCACUUAACAGAAAGAAAGUCUAUACUCCCAAAACAAAAUGAGUCAGACAGUGAUCUUUGAAUUAACAGGCUCUGCUGACGGACUAUUUUCCCCACUUUUCAUCAGUCUGGUGACAGUGGACUCUGGACAGAGAUAAAUGAGAGGUCAAGCUACCCUUCAUUUUUCCAGAGGAUUAUUUCACCCACAGAUAAGGCACGAAGAAGGAAGUAAUAGUCAAGACCAGCCUGUGAGAAAACAACAAAAAAAGGAUAACUAACAAAAGCCCCAUUCUCCAGCUCUUGCCCCGGCCAGCGCUUCAGCACGCAUGAGAACAAACCCAUUUGAAAGGAACACUUUGGCUUCAUGGUUCUCAUAGAAUUCUAAUGAGGAAUGGGUCAUUUUCUGGCACUAGAUGGGGAAACUAAGCAAGUUUCAUAAUGUCAGAGGAGACCCUAAAAC